rnacentral:snoRNA from 10 species
ACUGAGGAGUGAUGACAAUAAAAGGCCGAAUUGCAGUGUGCCCAUCAGCAGUUUGCUCUCUGUGGGGCGCACGAUGACAAAAUCUCCAGAAGCGAAUCACUGGUCUGACCUCAGU